GUGCUCUCUUUGGCAGCACAUGUUCUAAAACUGGAACAAUAUAGAGAAGAUUAGUCUGGCCCCUGUGCGAAGAUAAUGCACACAUUUGUAAAAUGUUUAAUAUUUUU
ensembl:snRNA U6 U6 spliceosomal RNA